rnacentral:rRNA from 1 species
GAAUUGUUCGCAAUGGGCGCAAGCCUGACGACGCAACGCCGCGUGGAGGAUGAAGGUCUUCGGAUUGUAAACUCCUGUUGCCAGGGACGAAUGGCUCCGACCUAAUACGUCGGAGAAUGACGGUACCUGGUGAGGAAGCCCCGGCUAACUCUGUGCCAGCAGCCGCGGUAAUACAGAGGGGGCUAGCGUUGUUCGGAAUUACUGGGCGUAAAGGGCGCGUAGGCGGCCUUCUAAGUCGAACGUGAAAUCCCCGGGCUCAACCCGGGAACUGCGUCCGAUACUGGUUGGCUUGAAUCCGGGAGAGGGAUGUGGAAUUCCAGGUGUAGCGGUGAAAUGCGUAGAUAUCUGGAGGAACACCGGUGGCGAAGGCGGCAUCCUGGACCGGCAUUGACGCUGAGGCGCGAAAGCCAGGGGAGCAAACGGG